UGCCCAGCAAAUCCUAUUGCUACCUCUUCGCGGUACUGGCCAGGGUACAAAUAAUCUUAGGAAAGAUCGGAUAACCAACUCAGGUGGGAACUCUGACGUAUGCUGACAGGGAAGG
rnacentral:ribozyme from 1 species